rnacentral:rRNA from 1 species
UCUCAAGAGGCAGGAGCGGGGAGGCUGACAAGGCAAUGACGCGUCUGCAAAUGGAUGCAUCGCUGCCCGACGCACGAAGCCGUAUGGGUAAUUGCAGUCAGAAAUGCACAAGAUUCUCGAAGAACACAACAUGGAUUCUGUUAUGUUCGCAAGGGAGCAAAAGAAACUCGUGAAGUACCUGGUUGCUGCGCUGGAGCCAAAGGAGUUCCAACAAGCCGCGCAAGCCAAGCUGGAUCAAGAGCAGCACAAGGCGAUGAAGUCGGACGUUGUGCACUGUUCGGCCUGGAUCACCGAUCUGCUCAAGCGUUUUCUGGUUUGACAGCCCACGAUGUCCAAGCGGGAGCCGCAACAGCCACGUCGCGAGCCGCCAGCGCGGAAGCACGAGGAGAGGCGGAAGAAGACGAAGCCCCCGGUGUCGGACAAGCCCAGCCCACGCACGUGCCUCAAGUGCCAGUCGCCCGACCACAUCGUUCGCAACCGCCCCAACGUCAAGCCAGGUGAUGCCGGUCGUCUGUGGGAGGAGUACAAGAAGAAGAUGAACGACGGUGGCGCGGGUCCGGCGAUGCGCGGGUUGAUGGAACCGAGUGUGCUGAAGCCCGUGAACGAUGAUGCGGAAGGGGGGCCAACGGGAGAAGACCGUGGCACGAUUGCCGCUGACGUGGAAGGUUUGGCCAUCCAAGAUGUGCUGCUCGAUUCGGGCGCCGACACGUCGCUGGUUUCUCGGGGGCUGGUGAAUGCGCUGCAAGCGCGUGGUUCGUUUGUCUCGCUGGCCACUGUACCGGGAGUGUCGCUGUCGCCAGUGGGCGACACCAAGCUCAAGGUGACAAGGAAGAUGCGCUUCCCCGAGGUCACACUGCGGACAACGGCCGGACCGUUGUUGCUGCGCCAGCUCGAAUGUUGGGUGCAUGAAGAAGACCGAACUGUGUCAAUGACAAUCGGGCGACCGAUCAUGACACAGCGGGGCUACUCGACAGAUGGUCUGCUGUCAGCUGCGAAGAAGCAGCAAGAAGAGUGGCUGGUGCAGCCAGAAGCUGAGGGUGCGGACUUGCCGCAACGCAUGCGGCAGCGGCAGGUCCGAGCGGUCGGAGAAGACGAAGGUGUCGAUGGUGCGCUCGAGGACGACGAAGAUGUUGAGAAUGAAGUCGAUGUGGAGCCUGCCGCGUUGCCGAGCACAGCCCCAGCAUUUGACGUAAGUGCCGCGUUUCGACACGUGCGCCAGACAGAAGAGCGGCAGGAUUUGCUUGCCUGCCCACUUGCGCAAGAGGAAUGGCGCAUGGCCACACCAUCGCUGGAAGAUGUGACAACGGAGAUGGUGGCCGAGAUCCUGGAAGCCAAGUUGGCUGAAGCGGAAGCACAAGGUCUGAGCACCGCAGGAGCGUCGAAGCUGCGCUCUCUGCUCGUGCGAUUCGCCGAUGUUUUCCGCACGGAGUUUGGUCGAGUCCAUCCGGUGCGUGUGCCGCCGAUGCAAGUCCGAGUACGACCGGGUGCCGUGCCCGUCAAGGCGAAGGUUCGCCGCUACCCGCCGUUGCAUCAGCAGUUCCUGGAGGAACGCGUCGCGAUGCAGGUUGCUGCAGGCCUCGUGGUCGAGAACCAUCGCAGUCGCUGGUCGUCGCCUCCGCGGAUUGUGGCCAAGAAGGAGCCCGGUGCGUUCCGCAUGACCGUGGACACGCGCGCAGUCAACGCCUGCACGGGGCCCAUGCCGUGGCCGAUGCCACAUCUCGAUGUCGCCGCCACGCACUUGGAAGGAUCAGUUGUCUACUUCCUGCUGGAUUGGUUCCGAGGAUAUUGGCAGCUGCCGCUGCAUGAAGAUUCGCGUGAGCUGUUCUCGUUCGCAACGCACCGUGGCAUCUACACGCCGUGUCGUGUACCAAUGGGCGCAACGGAUGCGGUUGCCUAUUGUCAAGGUGUUGUGGAGAUCAUCUUCGGAGAGCUCCUGUACCGAGGUGUCCUCGCUUGGUUGGACAACAUCCUCGGGUAUGCAAAGACGGAGGACGAGUUGCUCGUGGUGCUGGAGAAGGUGCUGCAGCUGUGUGAAGCCUUCGGCCUAAAGCUUCACCCAGGAAAGUGUUCGUUCCUUCAGAUCCAGGCAACGGGGUGCGGUCGUGUCAUCUCGAAGGAUGGCAUCUCUCACUGCCCGCAACGUGUGGCCGGCCUAGUCGCGAUGACACCGCCGACAACCGCUGGAGAUCUCCAGCAGCUCCUCUGCGCCUCAAACUGGAUGCGUAUGAGCAUCCCCAACUACGCUGCGCUGAAAACGCCGCUGUAUGAGUUGCUCGAGGCAACCCUCGUUCGUACUCAUAACCGCAUCAGGUCUCCAAGGUUAGCAGCCUCUAGUUGAUAGAAGAAUGUAGCUAAGGGAAGUCGGCAAAAUAGAUCCGUAACUUCGGGAAAAGGAUUAGCUCUGAGGGUUGGGCCUAAAGGUCUCUUCGGAAAACUUGUGGCGGCCUACGUUGGGCUGUGUCUGGACCUCUCGGGGACCGGAUACGGACUAGCGGUCGGG